rnacentral:rRNA from 1 species
AACGAACGCUGGCGGCAUGCCUAACACAUGCAAGUCGAACGAAGGCUUCGGCCUUAGUGGCGCACGGGUGCGUAACGCGUGGGAAUCUGCCCUUUGGUUCGGAAUAACAGCUGGAAACGGCUGCUAAUACCGGAUGAUGACGAAAGUCCAAAGAUUUAUCGCCAGAGGAUGAGCCCGCGUUGGAUUAGGUAGUUGGUGGGGUAAAGGCCUACCAAGCCGACGAUCCAUAGCUGGUCUGAGAGGAUGAUCAGCCACACUGGGACUGAGACACGGCCCAGACUCCCACGGGAGGCAGCAGUGGGGAAUAUUGGACAAUGGGCGCAAGCCUGAUCCAGCAAUGCCGCGUGAGUGAUGAAGGCCCUAGGGUUGUAAAGCUCUUUUACCCGGGAAGAUAAUGACUGUACCGGGAGAAUAAGCCCCGGCUAACUCCGUG